CCUACGGGUGGCAGCAGUGAGGAAUAUUGGUCAAUGGACGAGAGUCUGAACCAGCCAAGUAGCGUGAAGGAUGACUGCCCUAUGGGUUGUAAACUUCUUUUAUAUGGGAAUAAAACGUUCCACGUGUGGGAUUUUGUAUGUACCAUAUGAAUAAGGAUCGGCUAACUCCGUGCCAGCAGCCGCGGUAAUACGGAGGAUCCGAGCGUUAUCCGGAUUUAUUGGGUUUAAAGGGAGCGUAGGUGGAUUGUUAAGUCAGUUGUGAAAGUUUGCGGCUUAACCGUAAAAUUGCAGUUGAAACUGGCAGUCUUGAGUACAGUAGAGGUGGGCGGAAUUCGUGGUGUAGCGGUGAAAUGCUUAGAUAUCACGAAGAACUCCGAUUGCGAAGGCAGUUCACUGGACUGCAACUGACACUGAGGCCCGAAAGUGUGGGUAUCAAACAGGAUUAGAUACCCUUGUAGUC
rnacentral:rRNA from 1 species